rnacentral:rRNA from 1 species
AGAGUUUGAUCCUGGCUCAGGAUGAACGCUAGCGACAGGCUUAACACAUGCAAGUCGAGGGGCAGCGAGGGAGUGGCAACACUCCCGUCGGCGACCGGCGCACUGGUGAGUAACACGUAUGCGACCUGCCCCGGACAGGGGGAUAAGCCCGGGAAACUGGGUCUAAUACCCCAUACGCCUGACGGAUGCAUGUCCGUCCGGUGAAAGAUCCGUCGGUCCGGGAUGGGCAUGCGGCGCAUUAGCUGGUUGGCGGGGCAACGGCCCACCAAGGCGACGAUGCGUAGGGGUUCUGAGAGGAAGGUCCCCCACACUGGUACUGAGACACGGACCAGACUCCUACGGGAGGCAGCAGUGAGGAAUAUUGGUCAAUGGACGGUAGUCUGAACCAGCCAAGUCGCGUGCGGGAUGAAGGCCCUCCGGGUCGUAAACCGCUUUAGCCGGGGAGUAACGUGUGGGACGCGUCCCUCAGUGAGAGUACCCGGAGAAUAAGCAUCGGCUAACUCCGUGCCAGCAGCCGCGGUAAUACGGAGGAUGCGAGCGUUAUCCGGAUUUAUUGGGUUUAAAGGGUGCGCAGGCGGCUUGUCAAGUCAGCGGUCAAACUUCGGGGCUCAACCCCGUAUCGCCGUUGAAACUGGCGGGCUCGAGUGCGUGCGAUGUGGGCGGAAUGCGCGGUGUAGCGGUGAAAUGCAUAGAUAUCGCGCAGAACUCCGAUUGCGAAGGCAGCCUCCAAGCACGCCACUGACGCUCAUGCACGAAAGCGUGGGUAUCGAACAGGAUUAGAUACCCUGGUAGUCCACGCGGUAAACGAUGAUAACUAGUUAUCCGGCGCGAUUGUGUGCUGGGUGACCGAGCGAAAGCGUUAAGUUAUCCACCUGGGGAGUACGCCGGCAACGGUGAAACUCAAAGGAAUUGACGGGGGCCCGCACAAGCAGUGGAGUAUGUGGUUUAAUUCGACGCAACGCGAAGAACCUUACCUGGUCUUGACAUCCCGUGCAUAGCAUAGAGAUAUGUGAAGUCCUUCGGGACACGGAGACAGGUGGUGCAUGGUUGUCGUCAGCUCGUGUCGUGAGAUGUUGGGUUAAGUCCCGCAACGAGCGCAACCCUUGCCAACAGUUACUACGAAAGAGGACUCUGUUGGGACCGCCGUUGACAAAACGGAGGAAGGUGGGGAUGACGUCAAAUCAUCAUGCCCUUUAUGACCUGGGCUACACACGUGCUACAAUGGCCACCACAGAGAGGGGCGAACCCGCAAGGGGGAGCGGAUCUCAAAAAAGUGGUCCCAGUUCGGAUUGUGGGCUGCAACCCGCCCACAUGAAGUCGGAGUUGCUAGUAAUCGCGGAUCAGCAUGCCGCGGUGAAUACGUUCCCGGGCCUUGUACACACCGCCCGUCACACCAUGGGAGUUGGGAGUGCCCAAAGUCGGUGAGGUAACCGCAAGGAGCCAGCCGCCUAAGGCAAGACCAAUGACUGGGGUGAAGUCGUAACAAGGUAACC